CUAAACAAUUCUUUUUUUAUUUAUUUUUCUUCAGAAAACUAAAAGCCGUAGAUUGUAGCCCAUCCUCCACCGAAUCAGUUUAUAGCACUUUUGUUGUCAUACCACACUUUUUGUAGACGCUAUUGAAUUUCUAAGGCUAAACUCAUUUUUAUUUAUUUUUAUUUUCAGAAAACUAAAAGUUGUAGAGUUUAGCCCAUCCUCCACUGAAUCAGAAUAUACAAAUGUUGUAGUCAUGGCACACUUUUUGGAGACGCUAUUGAAUUUCUAAGGCUAAACAAUUAUUUUAAUUUUUUUUUCUUCAGAAAACUAAAACCCGUAGAGUUUAGCACAUCCUCCACCGAGUCAGAAUAUACAACUUUUGAAUUUAUGGCACACUUUUUGUAGACGCCAUUGAAUUUCUAAGGCUAAACACAUUUUAUUUUAUUUUUUUCUUCAGAAAACUAAAUGCCGUAGAUUGUAGCUCAUCCUCCUCCGAGUCAGAAUAUACAUAUUUUGAAUUCAUGGCACACUUUUUGUAGAUGCCAUUGAAUUUCUAAGGCUAAACUAAUUUAUUUAUUUUAUCUUCAGAAUACUAAAAGACUUAAAUUGUAGCCCAUCCUUCACCGAAUCAGAAUAUACAAAUGUAGUAGUCAUGGCACACUUUUUGGAGACGCUAUUGAAUUUCUAAGGCUAAACAAUUAUUAUUUUAUUUUUUUCUUCAGAAAACUAAAAGCCGUAGAUUGUAGCCCAUCCUUCACCGAAUCAGAAUCUACAAAUGUAGUAGUCAUGGCACACUUUUUGGAGACGCUAUUGAAUUUCUAAGGCUAAACUAAUUUAUUUUAUCUUCAGAAUACUAAAAGACGUAAAUUGUAGCCCAUCCUUCACCGAAUCAGAAUAUACAAAUGUAGUAGUCAUGGCACACUUUUUGGAGACGCUAUUGAAUUUCUAAGGCUAAACUAUUUAAAAAAAUUUAUCAUCAGAAAACUAAAACCCGUAGAGUUUAGCCCAUCCUCCCCCCGAAUCAGAAUAUACACAUUUUGUAGUCAUGGUACACUUUUUGGAGACGCUAUUGAGUUUCUAAGGCUAAACAAUUAUUAUGGCACACUUUUUGGAGACGCUAUUGAAUUUCUAAGGCUAAACAAUUAUUUUUUUAUUUUUUUAUUCAGAAAACUAAAAGCCGUAGAUUGUAGCCCAUCCUCCACUGAAUCAGAAUAUACAAAUGUUGUAGUCAUGGCACACUUUUUGGAGACGCUAUUGAAUUUCUAAGGCUAAACUCAUUUUUAUUUAUUUUUAUUUUCAGAAAACUAAAAGUCGUAGAGUUUAGCCCAUCCUCCACUGAAUCAGAAUAUACAAAUGUUGUAGUCAUGGCACACUUUUUGGAGACGCUAUUGAAUUUCUAAGGCAAAAUAAUUAUUUUAAUUUUUUUUAUCUUCAGAAAACUAAAUGCCGUAGAGUUUAGUCCAUCCUUCACCGAAUCAGAAUAUACAAAUUUUGUAGUCAUGGUACACUUUUUGGAGACGCUAUUGAGUUUCUAAGGCUAAACAAUUAUUAUUUAAUUUUUUACUUCAGAAAACUAAAUGCCGUAGAUUGUAGCCCAUCCUCCACCGAAUCAGAUUAUAGCACUCGUGUUGUCAUACCACACUUUUUGUAGACGCCAUUGAAUUUCUAAGGCUAAACAAAAAAAUUUUUAUCUUCAGAAAACUAAAAGUCGUAGAUUGUAGCCCAUCCUCCUCUGAGUCAGAAUAUUGAAUUCAUGGCACACUUUUUGUAGACGCCAUUGAAUUUCUAAGGCUAAACUAAUUUAUUUAUUUUAUCUUCAGAAUACCAAAAGUCGUAGAUUGUAGCCCAUCCUUCACCGAAUCAGAAUUUACAAAUGUGGUAGUCAUGGCACACUUUUUGGAGACGCUAUUGAAUUUCUAAGGCGAAAUAAUUAUUUUAAUUUUUUCUAUCUUCAGAAAACUAAAACCCAUAGAGUUUAGCCCAUCCUCCACCGAAUCAGAAUAUACAAAUUUUGUAGUCAUGGUACACUUUUUGGAGACGCUAUUGAGUUUCUAAGGCUAAACUCAUUUUUAUUUAUUUUUAUUUUCAGAAAACUAAAAGUCGUAGAUUGUAGCCCAUCCUCCUCAGAGUCAGAAUAUACAAAUUUUGAAUUCAUGGCACACUUUUUGUAGACGCUAUUGAAUUUCUAAGGCUAAACUCAUUUUUAUUUAUUUUUAUUUUCAGAAAACUAAAAGUCGUAGAGUUUAGCCCAUCCUCCACUGAAUCAGAAUAUACAAAUGUAGUAGUCAUGGCACACUUUUUGGAGACGCUAUUGAAUUUCUAAGGCGAAAUAAUUAUUUUAAUUUUUUUUAUCUUCAGAAAACUAAAUGCCGUAGAGUUUAGUCCAUCCUUCACCGAAUCAGAAUAUACACACUUUGUAGUCAUGGCACACUUUUUGUAGACGCUAUUGAAUUUCUAAGGCUAAACUCAUUUUUAUUUAUUUUUAUUUUCAGAAAACUAAAAGUCGUAGAUUGUAGCCCAUCCUCCUCAGAGUCAGAAUAUACAAAUUUUGUAGUCAUGGUACACUUUUUGGAGACGCUAUUGAGUUUCUAAGGCUAAACAAUUAUUAUUUUAUUUUUUUCUUCAUAAUACUAAAAGCCGUAGAAUUUAGCACAUCCUCCACCGAAUCAGAAUAUACAACUUUUGAAUUCAUGGCACACUUUUUGUAGACGCCAUUGAAUUUCUAAGGCUAAACACAUUUUAUUUUUUUUUAUCUUCAGAAUACUAAAACCCGUAGAGUUUAGUCCAUCCUCCACCGAAUCAGAAUAUACACAUUUGGUAGUCAUGGCACACUUUUUGUAGACGCUAUUGAAUUUCUAAGGCUAAAUAAUAAUUAGAAGAAGCAUCUCAAGGUCCUGGAGGGGCCUAGCCAGUCUCCAGACCUGAACCCAAUAGAAAAUCUUUGGAGGGAGCUGAAAGUCCAUAUUGCCCAGCAACAGCCCCGAAACCUGAAGGAUCUGGAGAAGGUCUGUAUGGAGGAGUGGGCCAAAAUCCCUGCUGCAGUGUGUGCAAACCUGGUCAAGAACUACAGGAAAAAUUCCGUCACUCACAGUUGAAGAGUACCUAUUAUAAAAAUCACAGACUUCUACAUGCUUUGUAAGUGGGAAAACUUGCAAAAUCGGCAGUGUAUCAAGUACUUGUUCUCCCCACUGUAGGCAUGCCUGGCUUCUUGUUUCGAAACAAGCCUUAAUAGUUCAGAAAGCCUCAGGUUCCCAUUCCUACUCUGGGGCUGCAUCCCGGUGGCUCAGGUUGUGUUUUCCUGUGUCCAGGGGCGCCGUAUGGGCUGGAAAGGUUAGGACGAUUCCAACAGCCUGUGACUGACAGGGGCCCUAAAAAGUUAAUAGAACAUUAGGUUAAAAAAAUUCAAC
ensembl:lncRNA